rnacentral:rRNA from 1 species
UACGUAUGGCGCAAGCGUUAUCCGGAUUUACUGGGUGUAAAGGGUGCGUAGGUGGUAUGGCAAGUCAGAUGUGAAAACUAUGGGCUCAACCCAUAGACUGCAUUUGAAACUGUCAAACUAGAGUGCAGGAGAGGAAAGUGGAAUUCCUAGUGUAGCGGUGAAAUGCGUAGAUAUUAGGAGGAACACCAGUGGCGAAGGCGGCUUUGGACUGUUACUGACACUGAGGCACGAAAGCGUGGGGAGCAAACAG